GGUUUGUGAUCCUGGCUCAGAUUGAACGCUGGCGGGAUGCUUUACACAUGCAAGUCGAACGGCAGCACGGACUGGAUGGUGGCGAGUGGCGAACGGGUGAGUAAUGUAUCGGAACGUGUAGUAGCGGGGGAUAACUACAGCGUAGCUAAUACCGUACGCCCUUCGGGGAAAGCGGGGGACCUUCGGGCCUGCGCUAUUAAGAGCGGCCGAUAUCGGAUUGGCUAGUUUGGUGGGGUAACGGCUCGCAAGGCGACGAUCCGUAGCUGGUUUGAGAGGACGACCAGCCACACCACCUGGGACUGAGACACGGCCCAGACUCCUACGGGAGGCAACCGGGUGGGGAAUUUUGGACAAUGGGGGAAACCCUGAUCCAGCCAUCCCGCGUGUGCGAUGAAGGCCUUCGGGUUGUAAAGCACUUUUGGCAGGAAAACGGCAGGAUAAUACCCCGUGCAACUGACGGUACCUGCAGAAUAAGCACCGGCUAACUACGUGCCAGCAGCCGCGGUAAUACGUAGGGUGCAAGCGUUAAUCGGAAUUACUGGGCGUAAAGCGUGCGCAGGCGGUUCGGAAAGAAGAUGUGAAAUCCAGACGCUUUGGAACUGCAUUUUUAACUACCGAGAAACUGAAAUUAUUGUCAGAGGGAGGUGGAAUUCCGCGUGUAGCAGUGAAAUGCGUAGAUAUGCGGAGGAACACCGAUGGCGAAGGCAGCCUCCUGGGAUAACACUGACGCUCUCGUGCACUGAAAGCGUGGGGAGCAAACAGGAUUAGAUACCCUGGUAGUCCACGCCUAAACGAUGUCAACUAGCUGUUGGGGCCUUCGGGCCUUGGUAGCGCAGCUAACGCGUGAAGUUGACCGCCUGGGAGUACGGUCGCAAGAUUAAAACUCAAAGGAAUUGACGGGGACCCGCACAAGCGGUGGAUGAUGUGGAUUAAUUCGAUGCAACGCGAAAAACCUUACCUACCCUUGACAUGUCUGGAAUCCCGAAGAGAUUUGGGAGUGCUCGCAAGAGAACCGGAACACAGGUGCUGCAUGGCUGUCGUCAGCUCGUGUCGUGAGAUGUUGGGUUAAGUCCCGCAACAGGCGCAACCCUUGUCAUUAGUUGCUACGAAAGGGCACUCUAAUGAGACUGCCGGUGACAAACCGGAGGAAGGAAUUGAGGAUGACGUCAGAGUCUCAUGGCCCUUAUGGGUAGGGCUUCACACGUCAUACAAUGGUCGGGACAGAGGGUCGCCAACCCGCGAGGAGGCAAUCAGAAACGAUCGUAGUCCGGAUCACCAGUCUGCAACUCGACUGCGUGAAGUCAGGAAAUCGCUAGUAAUCGCGGAUCAGCAUGUCGCGGUGAAUACGUUCCGGAUGUACACCGCCCACGUCACACCAUGGAAUUGGGUUUUACCAGAAGUAGUUAGCCUAACCGUAAGGAGGGCGAUUACCACCGCAGUAGGAUUCAUGACUGGGGUGAAGUCGUAACAAGGUAG
rnacentral:rRNA from 1 species